rnacentral:lncRNA from 1 species
GGCGGGUGCGCGGGUUGCGCACCUGGGGGUGGAGUGGGAGCAAAGAAUGAGGGAGGACCCCCACAUCCCCGGCUGCGGUGGGAGGACCCGCCCAGACCUCCACGGCUUGCGGGGACCCGAGGCCACAACGGGGUGGGGGUUGUGUUGAAGGACAGUCUCGGGGAUGGACAGUCUCCACUGUCUGGACAAAGGCCACACGCGGGUGGCUCCGCCCGCACCCCUUGGGGCAGCGCGCAUGCGGCGCGGAGCCAGAGCAGCGGGUUCUGGCCUCGCGGGGGCGCCGAGAAGCGCGGUGGUGACACAGUGCAGACCCCGCCCCCGCAGCCCGGACCCGGGGGACCGUCCCCUCCCGCCCCACCCCGGCCGCCUGGCGGAGCAGCUGGCGCGGGGGACGGGGACGCGGAUGCGACGCGGGGCCUAAUUCCGGCGCCGGGACCCGGUGGCCGCUCGACCCUCCUCCCGGGCCCCGCCGUCCCCUCGGAGCCCCCGUCCCCUGCCUCCCCGCGCGCCCGGACCCCGCCGCGCGGCCUUACCCGCCUCGGGCCUCGGUGGGAACCGCGGGCUGGAGGGGCCGCUCCGGGGGCCGCGGCGGAGCGGGAAGGAGCCGGCUGCGGCCGAGACCCUGCACCGGCGCGCCGCGCCCCGAGUUUGCGCGAGGCCUCCGCCCCAGGAUUGGGGGCGGGCAGACGCGGAGGCUCAUCCCCCGGGCGACGGGAAGGGAGGAGAAAACGGCAGUCGGAGGCGCGCGCGGCCCCUCUCCCUUCCCAGCACCCUCCUGCUCGCUGCACACCGUCCCCCGUCUCCUCACCCCACCCCCUCCCGAUUCCACACGCGUGCGCCCACUCUACCUCCAGCACCCAGUGCGCACCCGGCCCAACCGAGCCGCCGCCUCCCGCCUUCCCCCUCCCCCUCCCCCUCCCCCUCCCCCUCUCCCGUUCUGCCCCAGGUGAUGUGUCCCGGACGCGGGGACCACGGAAUGCUGUGGCAGGCCCUGAGCUCGAGAUCUUGGUGUCCAGGGCUCUCCACGGGGAGGCCCAGAGAGGAGAGGAUGGCUCUCCAGGUCCCCAGGGUGCCUCUUCUUCCCGCCCUCACGGUGGCCACCCCACAGCAAGGUCACUUGGAGCCCCACUGCCCCAGCCAGCCGGCCUUUCCAGUCCCUGCUGGGUCCGGCUCUGGGGCUUGAAAGGGUGCUAUCUUGCUGUCCAGGUCUGUCUCGCGCCUACGACCUCUUCCCCUCCCAACCGGGCUUUUACCCCAGCCACUCCACUUGGGGACACCAGGCCCUCUUGA